UGGGGAAUUUUGGACAAUGGGCGAAAGCCUGAUCCAGCCAUGCCGCGUGAGUGAAGAAGGCCUUCGGGUUGUAAAGCUCUUUUAGUCGGAAAGAAAGAGUUGCAAUGAAUAAUUGUGAUUUAUGACGGUACCGACAGAAAAAGCACCGGCUAACUCCGUGCCAGCAGCCGCGGUAAUACGGAGGGUGCGAGCGUUAUCCGGAAUUAUUGGGUUUAAAGGGUGCGUAGGCGGACUAAUAAGUCAGUGGUGAAAGCCUGCAGCUUAACUGCAGAAUUGCCAUUGAUACUGUUAGUCUUGAGUACAGUUGAGGUAGGCGGAAUGUGUCAUGUAGCGGUGAAAUGCUUAGAUAUGACACAGAACACCGAUUGCGGAGGCAGCUUGCUAAGCUGUAACUGACGCUGAGGCACGAAAGCGUGGGGAGCAAACA
rnacentral:rRNA from 1 species